rnacentral:lncRNA from 1 species
GAUGCAGGAUCCAGAGCAUGGGGUUGCGAGAUCCAUGAGGGUGGGAUGCGAGAUCCAGAGGAGAGAGUCUCCUAUUCCUUCUCUUCUUCCUCCUCCACUCCAUCUUCUUUGAGAGAGUCUGAGAGAUCGAUGGAGAUCAACAUCAUCAACCAUUAGGAGGUGGCUUCUGCAAGGGCCCUACCACUCCGAUAAAGCAAUGGGCCUCUGAUCGGAUCGAAGGCUUUAUGUGAAUAUCUAUAAAGGCCAGACACGUGUAUGGC